GCUCAUGGGGCAAGGUAGCCGAGUUGGUAAAGCGCUUACAGCUACUUACCGAAUAUCGAUGGUUCGAAUCCAUCCCGGAGCA
rnacentral:tRNA from 1 species